CUUAAAAAAAAAAAAGUUAAAUAAUCGAAUUUAAAUUUUAGAGCAAUCAAAACCCACAAGUUGACCAUGGGAGUUCUUGACCGUGAGAGACAGUUCAACAUGUGUCAAAUUCUGGUCCUGAAGGAUGACAAUGCUUUUAUUAAAACUGCAUUUUUGAAUGAGUCAUACUUUACUCUCGACGGAUCUGUUAAUAUCGCUCACACAGUUCGCUACGCUAAAUCCAUGGCGCAUAGAGGAAGAGGUUGAGCGGAUAUAACAAGUGGUUUAGUUGCCGAAAAGGAAAAGUUUCCUUCUAAGUUGAUGGUUUUUGCUGUAACAUUUCAAGGACGGAAUCUUGGUGUUCUUAUUAAGCAGGAUGGGACUCUGAAUUCUAAAUCCUACAUCAGACAUGUUAAAGUUAACUGUAUACCUCAGAUGAAGGCAGUGAAUGGAGGGUCUCUGGAUGGAGCCACCUGGCAACAGGAUGGAGCAUCCAUCCAUUGUAAUCCAAAUUUUCUUAACUUUUUGGAUCAAGAGUUUGAAGGCAGAGUUUUGGAGAAAAGGGCAGAAUGUGAUGGGAGGCGAGGCCACUGUUGGGCUCUAAGAUCCCAAGACCUCACAGUUUUCGACUUCGCUUUAUGGCCAAUCCUUAAAAGAAGAGUUUAUUUGAGCCCAAGACCCAGAACCUUGGAUGAGUUAGAGGCAAGAAUUCAGAACGAGAUUGAUGAAAUCUAUAGAGAUCCUAAUUUGAUCAAAAAGUGCCAUAUCUCGGUUAGAAAACGUGCACAGCUCUAUGUUCAAAAUAAUGGAGGACACUUUGAAAUGUUCCGAUAAGUUCUGAACCUCCAUAAUUUUGAACAAAGAGAAGUUGAUCUCUAUUGUGAAAUAGUGGUUUUUUUAAAAGAAAGUAUGUAAG